UGGUAUGUUAUUCUUAAGUUGUUGGAUGUUGUGUGGAUGUCUUCUCAUGGUAUCUUAGAGUGUUUUGAGGUUUUCUUGGGCAUGGUAUGAGUAGGAAAAACAUAUUCUGGUGAAUGUUAAUUUGGUGAUUUAUUGUGUGGACUAUCUGAAACUCUCGAAAUGACGUUUUCUUUUCGGAAGGGACUUUUUCUGCUGAGUGCUUGAUAGAUAGGGUGAAACUAUCAUCUUGAAAAUGAUUCAUAGAUAAAAACUCUGGCGCCCCCUGUUCCUAUUACAAGU
rnacentral:lncRNA from 1 species